rnacentral:rRNA from 1 species
UAUAGAGGUCUCAAGCGUUGUUCGGAUUCAUUGGGCGUAAAGGGUGCGUAGGUGGCGCCGUAAGUCAGGUGUGAAAUUUCGGAGCUUAACUCCGAAACUGCAUUUGAUACUGCGGUGCUUGAGGACUGGAGAGGAGACUGGAAUUUACGGUGUAGCAGUGAAAUGCGUAGAGAUCGUAAGGAAGACCAGUGGCGAAGGCGGGUCUCUGGACAGUUCCUGACACUGAGGCACGAAGGCCAGGGGAGCAAACGGG